CUGUGGGGCUCAGACACCCCACGGGCCCUAGAGAUGUGGGGCAGGACCUCCGGGUCCUUCCUUAUGGUGUUGCCCUAGAGAUGUGGGGCUUGGAUGCUGAGGGCCUUCUCUAUGGGGCAGAGAUGUGGGGCCCAGAUCCUUCCCUAUGGGGCAGAGAUGUGGGGCUCGGACACCCCAUGGGCCCUAGAGAUGUGGGACCCAGAACCUUCCCUAUGGGGCCUAGAUCCUUCCCUAUGGGGCAGAGCUGUGGGUCCCGGACACCCCAUGGGCCCUAGAGAUGUGGGGCAGGAGCCCUGGGUCCUUCCUUAUGGUGGUGCCCUAGAGAUGUGGGGCUUGAAUGCUGAGGGCCUUCUCUAUGGGGCAGAGAUGUGGGGCCCAGAUCCUUCUCUAUAGGGCAGAGAUGUGGGGCUGAGAUGCCCCGUGGGCCCUAGAGAUGUGGGGCGGGACGCCCGGGUCCUUCCCUAUGGGGCAGAGCUGUGGGGCCCAGAACCUUCCCUAUGGGGCCCAGAUCCUUCUCUAUGGGGCAGAGAUGUGGGGCCCAGAACCUUCCCUAUGGGGCCCUGAUCCUUCCCUAUGGGGCAGAGCUGUGGGUCCCGGAUGCCUGGAUCCUUCCCCACGUUGGAGCCCUAGAGAUGUGGGUCCCGUUCCCGCCCUCCCCGCCGUGGGUCGCGCCGUGGGUCGCGCCGUGGGUCGCUCACCGACGGUCUCGGCGAUGAGGAGCAUGAGGCCCCCGACGUGGAGGUCCCCGGUGACGCGGAGGGAGAGGGUUUGGGGGUCGCCCGUGGGGCCGGGGGUCGCCGCCGUGGGGCUCCCGGGGGUCGCUAUGGGGCCGGGCUGCCCCACGGCGUCGCCCUCCUCCACGUCCACCAGCAGCUCGAAGGAGCCGUCGAUGGUCUCCCCCGUCGCCGUCUUCAGCCCCGACAUCGCCCCCCAAUCUAUGGGUCGCUGCCCCACGGAUUUGGGGCUUCCCUCCCCUCCCCAAUCCUGCCCCACAACUCCUUCCUGCCCCACAGGGGGGGGGGGGGCGGAUGUCGGGGUACUUCCCUGUGGGGCUGAGAUGUGGGGCCGGAUGUCCCUAGAGAUGUGGGGCGGGG
rnacentral:lncRNA from 1 species